rnacentral:rRNA from 1 species
AACAAACGCUGGCGGCGUGCCUAAUACAUGCAAGUCGAACGGGGAAGUAGCAAUACGAGUACUAGUGGCGCACGGGUGAGGAAUACAUGGGUAAUCUGCCCUCGAGCUCGGGAUAACCAGUCGAAAGACUGGCUAAUACCGGAUAUGACCACAAGAUCUGAGGAUCAAGGGGUAAAAGGUUUUUCGCUUGAGGAUGAGCCCAUGUGGGAUUAGCUAGUUGGUGUAGGUAACGGCUCACCAAGGCGACGAUCCCUAACUGGUCUUAGAGGAUGAUCAGUCACACUGGAACUGAGACACGGUCCAGACUCCUACGGGAGGCAGCAGUAGGGAAUAUUGCACAAUGGAGGAAACUCUGAUGCAGCGACGCCGCGUGAGUGAUGAAGGCCUUCGGGUCGUAAAGCUCUGUCGUAUGGGACUAACAAAAUGAAGGUACCAUGCAAGAAAGGAUCGGCUAACUUCGUGCCAGCAGCCGCGGUAAU